rnacentral:rRNA from 1 species
UAGGGUGCGAGCGUUACUCGGAAUUACUGGGCGUAAAGUGUGCGCAGGCGGCCGAGCAAGUCGAGUGUGAAAGCCCCGAGCUUAACUUGGGAACUGCGCUCGAAACUACUUGGCUAGAGUGUGGCAGAGGGAGGUGGAAUUCCACGUGUAGCGGUGAAAUGCGUAGAGAUGUGGAGGAACACCGAUGGCGAAGGCAGCCUCCUGGGCCAACACUGACGCUCAUGCACGAAAGCGUGGGGAGCAAACAGG